AUGAUAUUGGCUUAUAGAGUCUUAUUGUUGCUACGAUCGUCGUGCAACAUCAACCACCUCAUCCAUCAGGGAAAUAAUGGACGGGAGGGAUAGAGGAUUCCUGGAAGACGAUACUGGUAGCGAAGAAGAGCCAGACGGGCAACUUCUGUUGGAGAUCAUUCGGAAAGAAGAAGACCGAGACUUGCGCCAAUUGGUCAGUGUGUGAAGCCCUUAAUUACCAAAAGUCUAUACGUCACGUUCUACAUAGCCUACCUCGUAUUUCUGAUGCAUCUAUUAGGUGAAACGUUUCCGCGAUCAAUGCCACCAUCAUUUGAUGGAUACUUCCAAUAAGGUCGACGUGGGCUGGAGUGAGCAACAAGAUCGCUACGUUAUCGAUUACCUGAACGACCCAAAUAAAGUGGUGCUCUUUGUCAGCUCGUCGCAGCAGGAGAACGUCGUCGAUAGAUUACGUUUUGAUUGGGCAGUGGUCGGUUCGAUCCACGGAUCGAAUAAUCCGACGUCUUUCUUCAUCAAAAUCGAGGCUGUCGAACCACUGAUUCGACCUGGUCAAUUCGACACGGCUGUCUACAACAAUUGUUUGGUUCGUGGAGUCAAGGAUUUGCCUCGACACUUGACCAAAGUAGUCUUCUAUUUCGAGAGACACGCGCUCAACCUGUGCGAAAAUCGACUUAAAGAAAUGAAGCAUUUGAUGGAAGGCACUCUGUUGAAAUUGCGACAAUUUCUAAUCGAAAGUCGAUGCUUAAGCGACAGUCUUCUCCUCAAGCCAACACUUAUUGUUCAACCUCCCAAACAAGACGACGAGGAUCAAAUCGAACAGCUGGAAAGGUUGGCGCAUCAGUGGAUUUACGUGGUUACGUACUCGUUGGAACUCAGGGAUUACUACUCGACAUGUGGCGCUGAAAAUAACCAUCCCACCAUUCAAGGCGAAAUCAAUAGCCUGCUUUUUAAAUAUGAAGUUUUAAAGAAACUCGGCACCAAGUUGAUGAAAGCGGACUACCAGCGCGUCUUGUCCAUCCUCAAAGAAGCGAAUUCGGUAGUCGGAGACGAGCUGGAAAACCUUCUCGAUCAACUACAGGAAGCAUCGAAACAGACGAAAUUGGCAGCCAGGUAUUUGACUUUCUUACGUCGAUCAGUCGAUGAAAUUGAAAAAGUCAAGAUCUUUCCUGAAACAAUCAGAGGGCAACAUAUAGCUCCACUGGUCGAUUUACCGGCUAUUUAUCAAGACGCGUGCAAUCGGAUCAUCGUUAUUGUGCGUCACGUAGACCUACCCAACUAUGAGAACAGGGAAAGCGAUGCGGCUGCUAGGCUUCUCUUCACCAUCGGUAACGAGGUAGUGACGAAAAUCAGCCAACACGCGUUGGCGGUCGCCAUCGAUCAGCUUUUCCUCAAAGGACGACCAAGGGAAUGUGUCGAAGACUUGGAGAAGUUUUGUCGUCGAGCUGUUCAGCGAUGCGUCGCUACUUACUUUCAAACCAUGAAGUGGCAGACAAUGGAGCUAAACGACCAAAUAGUUUUGGCCAACUUCCACGCGUUGGAUUUACGUUUAGGACACGUAAUUGAUAUUUGCGAAUCCCUGGAACAAUUAGGAAGGUACGGUGAGGGUAUCAAACCGGUGACAUUUUGCAAUGAGAGAGAACGUGAUGUUGGCCUUAGUCUAACGAUGGCACAGGAUAAUUUCGUUGAAUUGGCUAUUAAUCUUGUCAGCCAUCAUCGCACCAACAUAUUUGACAUCCUGAAUUCGGAAGAAUGGUACAAGGCCUAUAAUAGUUACCAAAAUGAGACAAGGGCUUUAGAGAUCCAUCUGGUUCACGACUUUGAAGACGCAGUACAUCGGUGCAGUACGCUCUGGAAUAUCUACGAAGUGUUGAUGUCGUUUAAACAUUUGUACCGCCGCCCACUCUUCACAGCCGUUAUCAACUCGACGGCAAAUCAGCUCUUUAAAAAGGCUUCUCGAGAGGCUAAAGUGGCUUGCGGCAUCAGUUGCAACGACCCCUGGAGCACUCCAAUCAAUGCCACGUUAACUACUCUUUCGACCCGGUUGGCAACGUCCGCCCAACGAGCUCGGGGUUACCUUGAUAAGAUCGCUAAAUUGGUCCAAAUGACAAGCUGGGCAGGUAGUCCCAGUUAUCGAGAAAAGGCUCUAUUACGCUGUCAGCAAGCUCACCGGCUUCUCGGUGAGGCUAUUAAGAAAGAACACGUGGAUUGGAUCGAUAGAGUUCACGUAGAAUUGGCGUUCAACAUGAAUGUAGGUCUCCAUAAAUUCGCCGUGCGACGUCAUUUCAAACGUCCUGACUGGAUUCAGUGUAACCUUGAUGGAGUUGUCUUUCAAGUUGUCCAAGCGGCCGAAAGCUGGGAUCGACUUCUCGUCGAACUUCCUGGUCAAGUUACAGCGUUGUGGAAUGAGCGGAAUGAGCUUCGGAACGUACACGGAUCCGUCUGCGCUAUGUGUUAUUAUUAUAAUUACAUUAUUCAAGAACUGGAAGUGCUAGACAAAGAUAUAUACCGUGAAGAAUUGGAUAAGCUCGAAAAAGCAGUCCAGCCCUGCUUAAACAGCACUACCUGGAAACAAUUGAUCUUAGUGAAAAGGGUGGUAACAUCGUGUUUCUUCGCCAUGGAGGAAGUUGUUCAAGACCUAGUGCAACGUUUUGCAGUACCAUAACGUUUUUUUUGUUGACAAAUGCUCUAUUCUGUGAGGGGUUUUCAAAUCUCUUUAUUAAGGAAUGAAAACAUGAAAAAAUAAUUACUUUCCAACAGAGACUACAUUUUAGACAGCAGUCUAUACGGAAUCUAGUCUAUAUUUCUGCCCAGCUGAAGCUGCGUCAUUGCGAUUCAGAUGGAACAAAAGCCGCUCUUCGAGACGCUCAACGGCUGCAAGAGUCAAGACUAACGUGUGGUGUUUCAGCAUACUGUACACGUUUAGACCUUUUAGAAAAUACCAAAUAGACGUUAGUUAAUAAAUAAACGCGAUGAUUGAUUA
rnacentral:sRNA from 1 species